rnacentral:misc_RNA from 1 species
UUUCCGUAGGUGAACCUGCGGAAGGAUCAUUGUAGGAUUGUUUUGGGAGGGAUGGUUGUGAUUUGUGGGGAUUGUGUGUGGUUGUUUGGAUUGCUUGGAUUGCCUGGCUGUCUGCAACUCGACUCGUCUUGUCACAACCACUCUUUACAUUGGCACAGACCAGUGGUCUGGUGUUUGGAGCAACAGACCACUGGUGUCUGAUGUUUGCGCCUGCUCGUUUGACAGAAACAAUACCAUAUCAUAUUAUCAUUGCAAAACUUUUAACAAUGGAUCUCUUGGCUCUU